rnacentral:tRNA from 1 species
UAGCUCAGUCAGUUAAAGCGUGGUGCUGAUAACACCAAGGUCACGGGUUUGAUCCCUGU